AAUUGAAGAGUUGAAGAUGUGAGGAGUCUUAAUUGAAGAAGGAUUCCUAAUCAACGAAGGAGUCCUAAUUGAAGAAGGAUUCCUAGUCAAAGAAAGAGUCCUAAUUGAAGAUGGAUUCCUAGAAGAAUGAGGAUUCCUACUCAAACAAGGUUUCCUAGAAGAAGGAGGAUUCCUACUCAAACAAGGUUUCCUACUUGAAGUAGGAAAGUUAAGCCUAAAGUUUCCUAUUUUGGGUUGAUCUUUCCUAAACCUAAAUGGCCUUAAGUUCUAGCAACUUUGAAGGUUCCUAAGCAUUGGAAGACACAAAACAAAGGUUCUAGAAC
rnacentral:lncRNA from 1 species